GAAGCCCUUCGGGGUGGAUUAGUGGCGAACGGGUGAGUAACACGUGGGCAAUCUGCCCUUCACUCUGGGACAAGCCCUGGAAACGGGGUCUAAUACCGGAUAAUACUCCUGCCUGCAUGGGUGGGGGUUAAAAGCUCCGGCGGUGAAGGAUGAGCCCGCGGCCUAUCAGCUUGUUGGUGGGGUAAUGGCCCACCAAGGCGACGACGGGUAGCCGGCCUGAGAGGGCGACCGGCCACACUGGGACUGAGACACGGCCCAGACUCCUACGGGAGGCAGCAGUGGGGAAUAUUGCACAAUGGGCGAAAGCCUGAUGCAGCGACGCCGCGUGAGGGAUGACGGCCUUCGGGUUGUAAACCUCUUUCAGCAGGGAAGAAGCGAAAGUGACGGUACCUGCAGAAGAAGCGCCGGCUAACUACGUGCCAGCAGCCGCGGUAAUACGUAGGGCGCAAGCGUUGUCCGGAAUUAUUGGGCGUAAAGAGCUCGUAGGCGGCUUGUCACGUCGGAUGUGAAAGCCCGAGGCUUAACCUCGGGUCUGCAUUCGAUACGGGCUAGCUAGAGUGUGGUAGGGGAGAUCGGAAUUCCUGGUGUAGCGGUGAAAUGCGCAGAUAUCAGGAGGAACACCGGUGGCGAAGGCGGAUCUCUGGGCCAUUACUGACGCUGAGGAGCGAAAGCGUGGGGAGCGAACAGGAUUAGAUACCCUGGUAGUCCAC
rnacentral:rRNA from 1 species